CAUUAUAAGAAUAAGUAUAAUACCCCAAUUAACAGAGUUUUGUGAGAAUUGGAUUAAUUUCAAACCAGGAAAGGCUUUUCCUAGUGAGUGGGUGUGCCCAGGAGUAUCUCUGAAAUGGGUACAUAUGUACCCUGCCUGGAGAUAUUCAGUGAUGAGUGUGGUCCCAGUAACACUCAAAGCGAUUGCAAUUACGCAACCUACAACGUACUGAAAAUACAUGAUAUUACUGCUCAAUUGUUUCGGACGAUUUCGCAGGCAUCCAUAAGGAAAGAAAGCGGAGACUGACAUGGAGCAUCCAAACUGGUCCUUCUAGUAAACUUCCACUGGGGAAGGAUAAUGAAAACUGGAUUGCUUCGUUCAAUUGGUAACAGUAAGCGACUCCUCCCACUGCCUGAUUCCAAAUUAUUUUUAUACAGAUCCAUAUUAAUAAUUUUGUUAGUGGUCUUUUUAUUU